GACGAACGCUGGCGGCGUGCUUAACACAUGCAAGUCGAACGGAAAGGCCCUGCUUGCAGGGUACUCGAGUGGCGAACGGGUGAGUAACACGUGGGUGAUCUGCCCUGCACUUCGGGAUAAGCUUGGGAAACUGGGUCUAAUACCGGAUAGGAGCCAUCUUUAGUGUGGUGGUUGGAAAGUUUUUUGGGUGUAGGAUGAGCUCGCGGCCUAUCAGCGUGUUGGUGGGGUAAUGGCCUACCAAGGCGGCGACGGGUAGCCGGCCUGAGAGGGUGUACGGCCACAGUGGGACUGAGAGACGGCCCAGACUCCUACGGGGGGCAGCAGUGGGGAAUAUUGCACAAUGGGCGCAAGCCUGAGGCAGCGACGCCGCGUGGGGGAUGAAGGCCUUCGGGUUGUAAACUCCUUUCGCUAGGGACGAAGCGUUGUUGUGACGGUACCUAGAUAAGAAGCACCGGCUAACUACGUG
rnacentral:rRNA from 1 species